rnacentral:rRNA from 1 species
CUCGUAGGCGGUUCGUCGCGUCCGGUGUGAAAGUCCAUCGCUUAACGGUGGAUCCGCGCCGGGUACGGGCGGGCUUGAGUGCGGUAGGGGAGACUGGAAUUCCCGGUGUAACGGUGGAAUGUGUAGAUAUCGGGAAGAACACCAAUGGCGAAGGCAGGUCUCUGGGCCGUUACUGACGCUGAGGAGCGAAAGCGUGGGGGAGCGAACA